rnacentral:rRNA from 1 species
GAUGAACGCUGGCGGCGUGCCUAAUACAUGCAAGUCGAGCGAACGGACGAGAAGCUUGCUUCUCUGAUGUUAGCGGCGGACGGGUGAGUAACACGUGGAUAACCUACCUAUAAGACUGGGAUAACUUCGGGAAACCGGAGCUAAUACCGGAUAAUAUUUUGAACCGCAUGGUUCAAAAGUGAAAGACGGUCUUGCUGUCACUUAUAGAUGGAUCCGCGCUGCAUUAGCUAGUUGGUAAGGUAACGGCUUACCAAGGCAACGAUUCAUAGCCGACCUGGGAGGGUGAUCGGCCACACUGGAACUGAGACACGGUCCAGACUCCUACGGGAGGCAGCAGUAGGGAAUCUUCCGCAAUGGGCGAAAGCCUGACGGAGCAACGCCGCGUGAGUGAUGAAGGUCUUCGGAUCGUAAAACUCUGUUAUUAGGGAAGAACAUAUGUGUAAGUAACUGUGCACAUCUUGACGGUACCUAAUCAGAAAGCCACGGCUAACUACGUG